rnacentral:rRNA from 1 species
UGAGACACGGUCCAGACUCCUACGGGAGGCAGCAGUGGGGAAUAUUGCACAAUGGGGGCAAGCCUGAUGCAGCCAUGCCGCGUGUGUGAAGAAGGCCUUCGGGUUGUAAAGCACUUUCAGUUGUGAGGAAGGGGGAGUAGUUAAUACCUGCUUCCUUUGACGUUAGCAACAGAAGAAGCACCGGCUAACUCCGUGCCAGCAGCCGCGGUAAUACGGAGGGUGCGAGCGUUAAUCGGAAUUACUGGGCGUAAAGCGCAUGCAGGUGGUUAGUUAAGUCAGAUGUGAAAGCCCGGGGCUCAACCUGGGAAGGUCAUUUGAAACUGGCUGACUAGAGUAUUGUAGAGGGGGGUAGAAUUUCAGGUGUAGCGGUGAAAUGCGUAGAGAUCUGAAGGAACACCAGUGGCGAAGGCGGCCCCCUGGACAAAGACUGACACUCAUAUGCGAAAGUGUGGGGAGCAAACAGGAUUAGAUACCCUGGUAGUC